rnacentral:rRNA from 1 species
UGCAGUCUGCAACUCGACUGCACGAAGCUGGAAUCGCUAGUAAUCGCGGAUCAGCACGCCGCGGUGAAUACGUUCCCGGGCCUUGUACACACCGCCCGUCACACCAUGGAAGUCUGCAAUGCCCGAAGCCGGUGGCCUAACCACUUAUGUGGAAGGAGCCGUCUAAGGCAGGGCAGAUGACUGGGGUGAAGUCGUAACAAGGUACC